CCCGUAGGCGGUUCGUCGCGUCCGGUGUGAAAGUCCAUCGCUUAACGGUGGAUCCGCGCCGGGUACGGGCGGGCUUGAGUGCGGUAGGGGAGACUGGAAUUCCCGGUGUAACGGUGGAAUGUGUAGAUAUCGGGAAGAACACCAAUGGCGAAGGCAGGUCUCUGGGCCGUCACUGACGCUGAGGAGCGAAAGCGUGGGGAGCGAACA
rnacentral:rRNA from 1 species